GGGGUCGUGGCGUAACGGCAGCGCACCGGACUUUUAAUCCGGGGGGUGAGGGUUCGAAUCCCUCCGGCCCUA
rnacentral:tRNA from 1 species